AUUCAGCUGAUGAGUCCCAAGUAGAACGAAACGCGCAUCCUGUAU
rnacentral:hammerhead_ribozyme from 1 species